rnacentral:rRNA from 1 species
UGCGCAGGCGGAACUUUAAGUCAGUGGUGAAAUCUUGCCGCUUAACGGUAAAAUUGCCAUUGAUACUGAAGUUCUUGAAUAUGGUUGAGGUAGGCGGAAUGUGUUGUGUAGCGGUGAAAUGCAUAGAUAUGACACAGAACGCUGAUUGCGAAGGCAGCUUACUAAGCCAUUAUUGACGCUGAGGCACGAAAGCGUGGGGAGCGAACAGGAUUAGAUACCCUGGUAGUCC